GUCCUGGAUUUUCCCACCACCCAGUUGCUAAUGACUUUUGUUUUGAGCACCGGAGUUCUUUCCAUCUGCAUCUGGAAGACAUCGAAUGUGCCCAGAAAGAAAAUGGAAGACGAGGGAGGUCAACUGGUUUGUCCAAGGUCACGUGGGAAAAUUCACUCGUAGGAGGAGAUGAGUCAGCAGAACCGGAAAUUCUCCCUGCACAAGCCCUUCUGAUCCCGUGGGCUGGGCGUGUGCGGCACCGAGCGAGGGCUGGGAAGGAACCGGCUUCUCCCCUGGAACUACUUUGAGAGGUGAACAAUAAUGUCACUAAGAAACGUAUUGUUCAGCUACCAGUCAAAGAUUUCAUUUGACUCAGAGGUUAUGAUGGGGAGAACAAGAAGCAGAAGAAAACGAAAGCUACUCUGGAUUAUUAAACGCCAUCCAAGCUCAUGGAUAUGCUUUACUGAAAGAACAGAAGACAAAGAGGAGGUGGUGGCCAAAAAAAAAAUUCUUGAAGCUGAUUUUGAAGAGGUAGAUGACUCAGUUAAAUCUGCAUGAGUAAAGAGGUCCAGAGACAAGGCAGAAACAUCUAAGAAGUGCUACUGCUUUCAUCGGUAAAGAAUACUUAAUAUUUCGUGGACAAUAGAUUGAAAAACACUGCUCUGUGAGUAGGCAGAAG